UUGGUCCUACGGGGCGCAGCAGUGGGGAAUAUUGCACAAUGGGGGAAACCCUGAUGCAGCAACGCCGCGUGAGUGAAGAAGUAUUUCGGUAUGUAAAGCUCUAUCAGCAGGGAAGAAGAUGACGGUACCUGACCAAGAAGCCCCGGCUAACUACGUGCCAGCAGCCGCGGCAAUACGUAGGGGGCAAGCGUUAUACGGAUUUACUGGGUGUAAAGGGAGCGCAGACGGCAGUGCAAGUCUGGAGUGAAAGC
rnacentral:rRNA from 1 species